CCUUCACCUGUUGGGGGACAGAAUAAAGCAGCCGAGCAACCCUCCCACCCUUUCCGAGUGGCCAGGGAGGCGUCCUGAGAGGAGCCGAGGGUCCAGAGCGCUUUGAGCAGGAGAAACCAGGCGCAGCCCGUUCUCUGUGUGAGGAAACUGAGGCCCAGAAAUAGGACGUGUUAGUGGCGGACGCAGGUACUAACCGGGAAGAAAAUUAAGGUAACUAACUCGGCACCAGCAACGUGCGGACGUCUUGCCAAAGGCAGCGCAAACAUCAUUUCCAGUUCUGGACGAGUGUAACCUCUUCUUAACCUGUGCUCCCUCUCUGUCUCGUUAAACGUUUAUACUUGUGUUAGUCUGUAUUUUAAAAAGUUUCAUACUCGGAACUGUACUAUUGCUGUUUGUUGGAAUGGGUGGAUGUCCUUGUGAGAUCCUGACCUGGCUUGACCUGCGGCCCCCUCUCCAAAUGGGACUGUACUGUAACGGGGAUUGAUGGGCGGCCGGAGGUGAGACAGUUUACACCCCCCUAACCUGCGAGGUGGGAUCAUUAUUCACUCCUUUUUCUAUUAGCCAGAAUUGCCUGACCCCCUCCUGAGAAGAGAUCUGCUAAGUCAACUGGGAGCUAGUAUACUCUUAAAACAGAGUGAGGCCCAAGAAGACAGAUAACCAGAACAGGGAAUAAAUCUGUUGGUAACCCCAGAUGACCUGCCUAUUGGUCAUCAAAAUAUUCCCCAAGAGUAGGGAAUAGGUAGAACCUGUGGUUUCAUAUAAAUCGGUACCAAGCAAGGCAAAGCAUGAUCCCGCUUGAAAACAGAGUUAAAGCCUGGAGGGAAGUACCUCUCGAAGAGGCCAUAUCCUUUAAAGCCAGAGGCCUUAAGUGUGUGUGGGGUGGGGGUUAGCGCUCAGUACUUCUGUUAGACCUCAAGUAUGCAUCUGUCACCCCCUACAUGCAGACUCCCAGUACCUUUUUCCCUUUGAAUGGAGGGACCUUGACACCCUGGAGGCUACUCAGCACACUUGCACAGUGCUUCCACAGGGCUUUCGGGACAGCCCCCAUCUCUUUGGAAGCACCUCAGCAAGGGAGCUGAGGGAGCAGCCUGAAAGAUGGAACUUUGUUGCAGUAUGUUGAUGAUCUAUGAAUAGUGAGACAAGGCAAGGUUCAGAUCAGAAUACUGUUAACAUGUUAAAUUUCCUGGCAGAAAAGGGAUGUCAAGUCUUCCCCAACAAAGGCUCAGAUUUCACAAUGUGUCCAGGAUUUAGGAUUGGUUACGGCCUCCGGUGUGUGAGCCCUGGCCACAGACCAGGAGACAGCAGUUGGUGCCUCACCGUCUCCAACCACAAAGAGACAGCUCCAAGGCUUUCUUGCAGUGGCUGGUUCUGCCAUAUCUAGAUGCCAGAGUACAGCCUUACAGGCAAAGCCUGGGGGAAGCAGGGAAGCCUGUAGUGGAGCAGCACCACCAGUGGGCUUGGAGACUCUAAAGCCCGAGUUGAGCAGGGCAGCAACACCUGGGGCUUCUCCACUUAGACAAAGACUUCACCAUGUCCAUGAGUGGUCAAUGACAGCACUAGGAGCCCUGACCCAAAAGCUGGGACCAGAUCAAAGGCCAGUGGCUUACUUUUCCAAACAGCUGGACUCAGGAGCCCUGGAAUGGCCCAGCUGCCCACAGGCAGUAGCAGCCACGGCCCUACUGGCCAGUGAGGCUUCUAGGCUAACCUGUCCCUAACCCUGGGACAACACCUAGAGGUUUUAACCCUUCAUCAGGUACAGUCUGUUAGAAGCCAAAGGACACCACUGGUUAACCAGGGGAGAGUUAGCAAAAUAUCCUCUCCUAAUGGACACCCUCGACAGUACUUUAAAGGUGUGCCAAGGCUUAGACACAGCAACUCUUCUCCCAGCUGUUGAAAAUGGAGAUCUUUCACAUCGGUGUACAGAGACAAUAGAACGAGCUUAUCCCAGCAGAUCCAGACGAACCUCCUGACAGCCCUGAAGUCUAGUGGUUUACCGACAGGAGUGGUUUUGUAGUGAUGGGAACCUAAAUGGCAGGAUGUUAGUCCAGAUGAAGCCAUGGAAGCCAGAGCCCAGCACCCCAGACGUCAGUCCAGGAAGCUGAACCUGGUAGUGAAUGAGAGCUCUGCGGGGGGCGGGGGGAGUAAGGAAUUAAAUGUUCUUUCUGAUUCUAAAUUUGGACUUCACGUGCUACACACUCAUGCUGCCACUUGGAAAGAGACGAAUGUUAACUGCCAGCAAUUCUCCCAUGAAACAUACAGGUUUGAUCUUGGCUCUCUCAGAAGCAGUGCCGCUCCUGGCCCAGGUGUCAGUAAUUCACUGGAGGGACCACUGCAAGACGGAUCCUUUGUACGCCAAGGAGGUAACAAAGGUGAUGGAGCGGCAGAACGUGCAGCUCAGUCACGAGAGCUUGACCGAGCCACGGCCUGAGUGACUGAGCCCCUGGCCUCCCCAGCCGUCCCGUGUUCCCCACAGGAAUGGGAGAAUGCUGGAAAGGGGCUGUACGGAAGAAAUCAUGGGCUGGUGUAUAUAUAUAUAUAUAUAUUUUGUUUUGUUUUUAAUUUUGUUUUGUGUCAAUUUCUGGUGUACAGCAUAAUGCUUCAGUCAUAUGUAUAUUCUUUUUCAUAUUCUUCAUUGUAAGUUACUACAAAAUAUUGAAUAGGGGUCCCUGUGCUAUACACUAUGAACUUGUUUAUCUGUUUUUUAUAUAGUAGUUAGUACCUGCGAAUCUCAAACUCCCAGUUUAUCCCUUCCCACCCCUUCCCACCCAUAAGUUUGUUUUCUAUGCCUGUGACAGUUACUCUGUUGUCUAAGUAAGUUCAUUUGUCUUUCUUUUUUUAGAUGCCACAUAUGAGCGGUCUCAUAUGGUAUUUUUUUCUCUUUCUGGCUUAUUUCACUUAGAAUGAUGAUCUCCAGGUCCAUCCAUGUUGCUGCAGAUGGCAUUAUUUUAUUCUUUCUUAUGGCUGAGUAGUAUUCCAUUGUAUAUGUAUACACCAUGACUUCUUUUAUCCAUGCAUCUGUCGAUGAACAUUUAGGUUGCUUCCAUAUCUCAGCUAUUGUAAGUAGUGCUGCUACGAACAUUGGGCUGCAGGUGUCUUUCUGAAUGAAGGUUCCCUGUGGAGAUAUGCCCAGGAGUGGGACUGCUAGAUCAUAUGCAGCAUAGCCCUGGGUCGUCUUCUGGCUGAACAAGGGGGUGUCUCUGCAGUAAUCAGCAGCGCUGCCUAUACAUACGUCAGCCACUCCAGGACAUCAAAGAAGCACUAAGGACAUUUAUGAACAAGCUAAACGGUUCCAUGGGGUCAGCAACUCCACUGCCCUGACUCCGUGGGACUAGAUUAAAGGUCACAUCCCUGGGGCCUGCUUGGCUCCUGCCUCUCCUGGGCCCUCUGGUGGGCCCUACUAAUAUUUAUUAGUAUUUGGGCCCUUCUGGUUUAAUCUUAGUUAGGUUUGUGUCUUGCAGGCUUUAACAGUUCCAAGUGAGGCUCGCAGUGGCCCAAGGACUUCACCCUGUUCCCUCAGAAGGUGACCCGGCCCCUGCGGGCCCUCGGAACAGUCAGCAAGGGACUUCUACACCUCGGAGCGGGUGGAGGAAUCAUCUAAGAAGACUGGUAGGGCCCAGGAGGUUGACGCUGAAGUGGGAUUUCUGAGCCAGAUCCCCUCCAGCAACCUACCUGCCGGACCUGUGCUCCUCCUUCUGAGAAGCUGUGGGCUUUGGAGCAUCCGCCCUGAAAAGCCUUACUUUCUCCUUAACACUUAGGGAAGUUCGGCUCCACACAGGCAAUCGUGUCCCCCACAUCAGUGACACGACGCCUCUGUCUGUCCUCAGACCUGCACUGAAGCCCACUCAGGCACACACCUGGAGUCCUCUGGCACUGUCCUUGUGAUGCCCUCUUCCCAGGGCCCUGAGCUCCAGCUGCACAAGCACAUGGGAGAGACACAGGUGGAACGUCUCCAAGGAGGUUACUUAAGCACAAAAAUUGCAAACCUAAGUUUAAUAAGGGAUAAUAGAAAUGACUCAGAGAUCCACAACCAGAACUGUUGCAGAAACCCUCAGCUGGCUUCUCCACUUAACUUUCCCCUUUGUCAAGAAAAUAAACAGGUUUGUACAGAAUAA